rnacentral:lncRNA from 1 species
UGAAAAGAAAUGUACUAAAUGUACUUUAUCAUCAUCAAAAAGAUUCGGCAUCAUUUAAUCCGAAACAGGUUGUUAAAUGAAAACAAAAAGAACAUCAUUCAACAAACAGCAGAAAAACAUCACAAAUGCUCCACACCAUUAAAUCCCUGUUGCAAUAAUAUAUAAAAAAAAAUAUUUAAAUACACGAGACGACCUAGUCUAGGACAAAGCCUUGAAACACCAAAGCAAUCAAAAAGGCAACGAGAACACAGUUUGCAGAUGUGUAGUGAAAGUUGUUUUGUUUGCCUCGCCCACUGAUUUUGGUGUACGAAAAAAGAAAUAAAAUAAAAAGGAAAAUGAUGGGGCUAGGCUAGGCUAGAGAUGGGUCAGUUUGUCCUGGCGUAGAGGCAAUAACAUGGAGAGAGUGACCUUUGAGUCCCGAAUCAGUGUAUUUGCCAUGUAUGUGGAGCCUUUUGUGUGAACUGGUGCACAUAAUUUGGCUGCCUAGUUGGUUGUUUUCAAUUCUCAAGUUGGAGUUGUUCUGCGUUUCUUACAUGCAUUCUGAUUUGUUUGGUGGAGUCUUCUGACAAGUUUACAUGUUAGUCACUCUGGAUACAUCUAAACUAAAAAUAGUUGUAGAUAGUGGGUUUUUGUUUGUGAACAAAUUUCUGAGCCUGGUUUUUUGAAAGAAAUGACGCGGUGUAAUGGAGCUGUGCAACACUGCAUGCCACAGCUCAUGUUUGCCAAUUACCAGACUUGACGAGUGGUACACUGCUAUGCUAUGCAAGACGCGGAUCUCCUCGGAGAAACACGGUCGAUCCAGUAAAAGACACGAAUACAAGCGUAGUUUAUAUUUUUCUAAUAUUUUUUAU